rnacentral:rRNA from 1 species
UACGGGGGGGGCAAGCGUUGUUCGGAAUUACUGGGCGUAAAGGGCGCGUAGGCGGCUCUUCAAGUCGGGCGUGAAAUCUCCAGGCUUAACCUGGAAGGGUCGUUCGAUACUGUCGAGCUAGGGUGUGGAAGAGGCUACUGGAAUUCCGUGUGUAGCGGUGAAAUGCGUAGAUAUACGGAGGAACACCAGAGGCGAAGGAGGGUAGCGGGGCCAACAGUGACGUUGAGGCGCGAAAGCCAGGGGAGCAAACGGG